rnacentral:rRNA from 1 species
AUGCUGCCCUGGUCUAUUGUAGUAUCAGCCCGCUUCAUCGAGAUAUGGAUGCUUUUCUUUGGUGAAAAAGGGACGUUCUGGAGGAUGGUGAGGACGGCGAGAAAGAAGUUAUAUUUGCUGGAGAUGAUGCACUCACAACCAUUGGGUGAUUCUCCCGGAGGGCGAAGCGGGGCGAGAAGACGGGCCAAUGGAGCUCGGAGCUCUAUGGGGAAGUCUGGUGGUUUGCUUUAUACUUUGAUUUUCACAUGUGAAUGGGACACGCUGUUCCGGUGUUUUGCGGUGUGCUCAUGUUGUAUCCAACAGAUAUCAAAACAAGGUGAUGUUUGUUUUUUGACUCGGAACCAGAAUAUCCAAUGUAUGAUGAACUGA